rnacentral:rRNA from 1 species
GACGAACGCUGGCGGCGUGCUUAACACAUGCAAGUCGAACGCUGAAGCUUGGUGCUUGCACUGGGUGGCUGAGUGGCGAACGGGUGAGUAAUACGUGAGUAACCUGCCCUUGACUCUGGGAUAAGCCUGGGAAACUGGGUCUAAUACUGGAUACGACAUGUCACCGCAUGGUGGUGUGUGGAAAGGGUUUUACUGGUUUUGGAUGGGCUCACGGCCUAUCAGCUUGUUGGUGGGGUAAUGGCUCACCAAGGCGACGACGGGUAGCCGGCCUGAGAGGGUGACCGGCCACACUGGGACUGAGACACGGCCCAGACUCCUACGGGAGGCAGCAGUGGGGAAUAUUGCACAAUGGGCGGAAGCCUGAUGCAGCGACGCCGCGUGAGGGAUGACGGCCUUCGGGUUGUAAACCUCUUUCAGCACGGAAGAAGCGAAAGUGACGGUACGUGCAGAAGAAGCGCCGGCGAACUACGU